AAUCUUUUUUGGUUCUACUUUUCUAUACAUUUAUUAAAGUCCAAUUCGUAAAACCCGGUUCAAAUAACACCUUCGGCGGCGCCGUCUAACCGGUCGAAAUCUUACCCGGUUCAUCAAACGCCACACAACUUCGCAAAAAUUUCAGACAACCUUAAAACCCUUCUCUUAAACCCUUCGAAAAGAAGCAAACUCUUUUCCUCAUUGAAUUGCAGCACAAUGGGCAACCAACGAUUUGGCAGAAAACGAGGCAUUAAGAGAAGAGUUGAACUGAAACCUUUUACAAAGAACGAGAAUAUGAAGAAGAAGAAGAAGAAUGGUCGAUUUGGUAGAGAAGAAAAGCUCAAUAGAAGCCCCUCUCCAAGUGUCUCAGCUGAUUCCGGAGAAGAAAACUCGGAGAUAGAAGAAGUCGAAGCACAAAAGGAACAACAAGAAGAAGAAGUUUUGAAUUAUAAGGAGCCAACAAUGUAUGACAGUUUGUUGGAGUCAUUGAGGACAAAACGAGAAGAAUAUAACACAGACUCAGAAGAAAAUGAAGAUGAUGUUGAGCAAGCUCAUGGUGCGUCUGAUGAUGAAAAUGAAGGCAGUGAUAGUGAGGCUUCUAGACUUUGCGAACCUGGUGCUAGUCUACAUGGAGGUGGUCUUGGUAACCCAGUGGGACAGAUUGGAGGUACCGAAACUGACGACGAUGAUUCGGAGGCCUCUGGUUCAGAUGAAGAACAGGAAUUGAGAGUCAUUGGUCAACCUACCAAAGGGGCUUGUGCUAGCACGAGCUCAUUUCACUCUCAUUUGGAUCACAAGUUAUCCAAAGAAGAAGUUGACAUGCUACAGAAAAAGAAAUGGACUUACAAAUGGGUGGUAGACAUAUCAAAUUGCAAGUGGAGAGGGACAGGCGAAUGUUUUCUGAAGGAGCUAGACGGCUUCUUAUUUCAUGGCUUGAAGCCGACACUAUACAAGCAUUGGUUAGGUAUCUAUGAGAAGUCUGGAGGGUCCGAUUUUGAUUCAUCAAAGCAGAGAUUAUUUUUCUCCCUCUGCAACAGCUACCGGGAUAUUUUGCACCACAACAAGAAACCCUUCUAUCUCAAACGUCUAGAAGAAGAUUCAAAUACCAUGGAUGCUUAUGUUAUGCAUUCUCUCAAUCAUAUAUUCAGAACUAGGGAUCUUGUAAAGAAGAACGAGGCGAAACUUGCUAAGCUUCAGGAGAGUGUGAAAGCAGAUAUCCUUAAUAAUGAAGCUUUUCUUGACCGUGGCUUUACUCGCCCUAAGGUUUUGAUCCUUCUCCCUCUAGCAAGUGUUGCAUUUCGGGUAGUCAAGAGGCUGAUCGAUUUGACACCUCCUAAAUACAAGUCUAAUGUAGAGGAGCGUGAACGUUUCUAUAGAGAAUUCGGGGCUGGAGUAAGCGAAGACAAGGAGGAUGAAGAUGUGGUCGAAAGCACUGAAUCAAAAAAGAGCUUAAAACCAUCUGAUUUUCAAGCAUUAUUUGGGGGAAAUAACAAUGAUCAUUUCAUGCUUGGAAUUAAGUUCACCAGGAGGAGCAUAAAGUUGUACGGUGACUUCUACUCGUCAGACAUGAUUGUUGCUUCCCCACUUGGCCUAAUCACUAAAAUCGGGGAGGCAGAAAUGUUUAAGGAAAAAAAUGUUGAUUAUCUUUCUUCUAUAGAGAUUCUGAUUGUUGACCAUGCAGAUGUCAUACUGAUGCAGAAUUGGUCACACGUGAAUACAAUUGUUGAACAAUUAAAUCGGAUACCUUCCGAGCAGCAUGGAACAGAUAUUAUGCGCAUUAGGCAGUGGUAUUUAGACGGUCAAGCGCCAUUCUACCGCCAAUCUAUAAUCUUAUCUUCUCAUAUAAAUCCAGAUAUCAAUGGGUUAUUUAACCAUCAUUGCCUCAACCACGAAGGAAAGGUCAAAUUGGCAAGCGAGUAUAAAGGUAUUUUACCAAAGGUAGUACUUCAAAUAAGGCAGAUUUAUGAGCGUUUUGAUGUGAAGACUGCAGAAGAUGCUGAUGAUGCUCGGUUUGACUAUUUCACAAAAAAGGUGUUCCCCAAGAUAAAGGAUUCCAUUCAGGGUGGUAUAAUGCUAUUUAUUAGCUCUUACUUUGAGUUUAUCCGAGUAAGGAAUUUUUUGAAAUCACAAGAGGCAUCCUUUUGUUUAUUGGGAGAGUACACUGAGCAGAGUGAUAUAUCUCGUGCACGAGUGUGGUUUUUCAACGAAACGAAAAAGAUUAUGCUUUACACUGAAAGAGCUCACUUCUAUCAUCGAUACAAGAUACGUGGCAUCCAGAACUUGAUCAUAUAUUCACUUCCAGAGCGGAAAGAAUUUUACCCAGAGGUUGUAAACAUGCUACAGGGGUCUGCUUCCACUGUUCUAUUUUCUCGUUUUGACCAGCUUCGGCUUGAGAGGAUUGUUGGCACUGCUGCUGCAAAAAGGAUGAUAACAUCGGACAAGGGUGUUUUUGUCUUCUGUUAAAAGUGAAGUUGUUUGGCCAAGGAAAAGUCCUGCUCUCAAAAUUGUGAAAUUGUGAUGACUUCUGGUCUGAAGCCCUCAGCAGAAAUCUAACGUUAUGCAAGAGGUACGAACAUAGCAAUGGGGUUGAGUUUGCAUGGAAUUUGGAGAACAACACUCAUAUCCUCCAGGUAAUGGUAGGAGCUAAAUUACAAAGUGAAACAGGAUGGUUAGCCUGGGGUUUGAACUUUGGACCAGAACCAAGAAUGGUGGGGACUCAAGCUCUUAUUGGUAUCAAGCAGAUAAAUGGUUCAUUUCUUGGUGACAAGUACAAUGUCACAGAAUAUAUCAAAAUAGAGUGCAAAUUGUUACCUUCUCCUAUUGAUUUGAAUGUAAGCAAAUUGAGGUUUAGUUCUCUGAGUUUUCAAUAUCACAUAAUAGAAGCAACUAUACAUCUUCCUCAGUCAGUUAGUAUUUCAAGAAUUAAUCAUGUUUGGCAAGUUGGAAAAGUUGCAGCAGGAAUGGAACCCAAGAUUCAUGAUAAAACUCUCCAUAACUAUGAUGGCACAGAGACCAUUGAUUUGGAGACUGGCAAAUCUUUACGUUUUAGAGCUGCUAAACGUCAUCAUGCAAGAACUGCUCAUGGAAUACUUAACAUUAUUGGUUGGGGUGUAAUCCUUCCUAUUGGUGUGAUAAUAGCGAGAUACUUCAAAAAGGGACCAAUACAAUGGAAUAAACAUGAUGAAUGGAAACAUGCUCAUAAGACAUGUCAAGCAUUUGGAUAUAUUAUUGGUGCAACUGGUUGGGGACUUGGACUCUGGCUUGGAAUUUCUUCCAAAUAUUACUCUUUUCCCAAACAUGGAGCUUUUGGCAUCUCCAUCUUCACAUUUGCCACCCUACAAGCGCUGGCACUGAGAUUAAAACCCAAAAAAGACGAUGAACUUCACAUAUACUGGAGUAUGUACCAUCAUUCUCUAGGGUAUGCAUUACUUGCAGUGAUUUGUGUCAACAUAUUCAAAGGGAUAAAAAUAAUGCAAGAAGACAAGUGGAGACCUGCCUACAUCGCAGUUAUUGGCUCUCUUACUUUCAUCUUCUUAGUCUUCGAAAUCAUCAAUUGGCUCCAAUUCAAAGUUGAACAAAAGAACGAGAAAAAAAGACGAUAUUCGCCGACAAAUGAAAAUUGACACACAAGGAAAGUAAUUCUAGUAUUUCAUGACACACUAUAAUUCUUCUUCGGAUAAAGCCUAAUGAAAAGCUCUUUUGGGUGUGCGAUAAUGGUUAACAAUUUAAGUAAUUUCAUGAGCGCGAAAAACUUUUCCAGAUUUAAUAUUUUAUGUUUAUUACUAUUUCUUUUU